AGAGUUUGAUCCUGGCUCAGCCUGAACGCUGGCGGCGUGGCUAAGACAUGCAAGUCGUACGGUGUAGCAAUACACAGUGGCGAACGGGAGAGUAAUGAAUCGCUAACGUACCCCGGACUCUGGGAUAGCUGCCCGAAAGGGCAGGUAAUACCAGAUGAUAUAUUCCCUUGGCAUCUUGGGAAUCUCAAAGGUCCGCCGGUCUGGGAGCGGGCGAUUUCGUAUCAGCUAGUUGGUGAGGUAACGGCUCACCAAGGCGACGACGCGUAGCCGGACUGAGAGGUUGGCCGGCCUCAUUGGGACUGAGACACUGCCCAGACUCCUACGGGGGGCUGCAGUAACGAAUCUUCCGCAAUGCACGAAAGUGUGACGGAGCGACGCCGCGUGUGGGAUGAAGUCCUUCGGGAUGUAAACCACUGUCAGGGGUUAGAAAGUUCUGAUCAACCCCAGAGGAAGAGGCGGCUAACUCUGUGCCAGCAGCCGCGGUAAUACAGAGGCCUCGAGCGUUAGGCGGAAUCACUGGGCUUAAAGCGUGUGUAGGCGGAUUGCUAAGUACCUUGUGAAAUCCCACGGCUUAACCGUGGAACUGCUUGGUAUACUGGCUGUCUUGAGCCACUUAGGGGCGACCGGAACAAACGGUGGAGCGGUGAAAUGCGUAGAUAUCGUUUGGAACGCCAAAGGUGAAAACAGGUCGCUGGGAGUGUGCUGACGCUGAGACACGAAAGCCAGGGGAGCAAACGGGAUUAGAUACCCCGGUAGUCCUGGCCGUAAACGAUGUCCACUAGAUCGUAGUCGCUCUGACG
rnacentral:rRNA from 1 species